UGUCGUGAAACGGCAGCACGUAGGGAACCAGCUGAAUCAACUUCUUGAUAUUUCCCCACAUCAUUGCAGUUUAUGAAUGCAUUUAUGACUAUUAUUGAUAUGUUUUUACGUUUGUGACUCAACUGUUCGACGAAUAAUGUAGUUGGAUAUUUCAAUUGAAUACGUGAAUUUACGUAAAACUAACACAGACCUCAGUGUCACUUUACCAGUAGGAACUGUUUGCCUCAUGGUAACAGGUCUUGUGCAAACAAAGCCUCCACAAUUGGUUGGACAACAUUUGCCAAUUCCUAAGCAGUGUGAGUCAGAAAAACAAGAUUGACUACAAAUCUGCAUUGGCAAAGGUGGUGGACAGGAACCUGGUUUCUCAGCAAAAGGUUCGUACCUGAAGACAUUAUUUCAAUUGCGUGAGGAAGAUUCAUUAGCAGACUGAGAGUAUUUAUUUAAAUUCAUAUUUUUUUUAAGAAUAUAACUAAAACAGUAAGAUUUAAUGAGAGAUUUGAUUCACCACAAACUCAUUAGAUAUUAUAAAAAGUUACCAUACUUUGAAUAUUUUAUGUCUACUCUUAUAUAUUUUACCGUCUUUAAAUUUCCAUAAAUGCAUAAAAAUCCGUAAUCUGUUCAUCAUAAACAAUCAAUUAAUUAAUUAAACAAGAUAGAAACAAACCUGGAUUGAGCAAGCGUUGUGGCCAAAGACAACGUAGACACCAAGACCAUCGUAAGCAAUUUCAUUUUUCAAUUAGUUUACUCACUUAGCUUACUCGAAACUAAAAACGAAAAACGUAUGUGUUUGUAAAAACUUUGAUUAUUUUGAUAAAAACUUUGUUCGUGAAAUUUUCGUUCAAUGAAUAUCUAUUUUAAAUAUUCAUUUUUUCUAACAGGAAUUCCACUAUUUCACAUAUUCGGUAAACACAACUAUUAUCUUUUGUUAAUAAUAAUUAUCGUAUUUUAUAAAUUGUUUAAAAAAUCGCACAGAUAUACUGAAUUACUUUGUGUUAAUGCUUUCAAAACUGAAAUGUGAUCGAUUAUGGCACCGUUGACUCUCAGUCGUGGGUCGACAAACGAAGAAACAGGUGAUCGAGACUUUUGCUGAAGAGAGAAGAAUUUCUCUCCUAUAUAAGAUCGAUCCCCACUCAAUGAUAAACGUAACGAGCACGUUGCAACUCCUUUACGGAAAUCGGGGAUCGUUGGACCUACCUCGGAUGUCGAACCGCAACGUAACUCGUCCUGAGGUCCAGACGGUUCCCUCGACUUUGUGCUGCUGGAAUUGGAGGUGGUUCUGCCAUAAGAGAAGGACGAUUGACUAUUUUCUUCUCGUGCAGGCAUAGGAUGAGAAUCUGAACGACUCUGGGUGGGCGUCGCUGUUCGAGAUGGCUGCUGGCUCACUGCGUUUGACGUUGGUGUUUUUGGUCCUUGAAGAAUUAAAUUUGGAAACAUCAAUUUUUCGACAGUGCUUGGAAAUAUUUCAGAGUUACCUACCAGCUGGAUGCAUUUUCAUAUAACCUUGAAGAGGGAGUUCAAAGCCGUUCGAGGAGGUCAUCACAGGCGUUGGUGUUGAUGGACUGGCGAUGACGGGAGUCGGUGCUGCCACGAAGCUGAUGCGCCAAUCUCGUAUGUCCUGCCUGUUCUGCAAGAUCCGCAGGGGUCAGUUCCGACACGUUCCUCAGGUCGCAUGCUAUAUCACCGCCUGGACACUCCAACAGUUGCCAAGCUAAUCUCUCCAGG